UACGUAGGGUGCGAGCGUUAAUCGGAAUUACUGGGCGUAAAGCGUGCGCAGGCGGCGCGUUAAGACAGGUGUGAAAUCCCCCGGGCUUAACCUGGGAAUUGCGCUUGAAACUAGCGGGCUUGAGUGUGGCAGAGGGGGGUGGAAUUCCACGUGUAGCAGUGAAAUGCGUAGAUAUGUGGAGGAAUACCGAUGGCGAAGGCAGCCCCCUGGGAUAACACUGACGCUCAUGCACGAAAGCGUGGGGAGCAAACAGG
rnacentral:rRNA from 1 species